GACGAACGCUGGCGGCGUGCUUAACACAUGCAAGUCGAACGGAAAGGCCCUGCCUUGGUUGGGUGCUUGAGUGGCGAACGGGUGAGUAACACGUGAGUAACCUGCCCCUGACUGUGGGAUAACUUCAGGAAACUGGGGCUAAUACCGGAUAGGAGCUCCGGCUGCAUGGUGGGGGUUGGAAAGUUUCGGCGGUGGGGGAUGGACUCGCGGCUUAUCAGCUUGUUGGUGGGGUAGUGGCUUACCAAGGCAUUGACGGGUAGCCGGCCUGAGAGGGUGACCGGCCACACUGGGACUGAGAUACGGCCCAGACUCCUACGGGAGGCAGCAGUGGGGAAUAUUGCACAAUGGGCGGAAGCCUGAUGCAGCAACGCCGCGUGCGGGAUGACGGCCUUCGGGUUGUAAACCGCUUUCGCCUGUGACGAAGCGUGAGUGACGGUAAUGGGUGAAGAAGCACCGGCUAACUACGUG
rnacentral:rRNA from 1 species